ensembl:lncRNA HCG18 HLA complex group 18
CCUGUUCUUUCCACUUCUGGGGCUGUGACUUGAGUUUCUCCGCAGGAGCAGAUAGUGUUUGUGUAGGGACUGCGGACUUUUGCAUUACAGCCUCCCUGCUUUGCCCGCCUGCUGCUGGAAGCUUAGCAGGUGAGGAAAGAGGACUUCCUGUAUAUCUCUAUCCUUUUGUUUCCAUUACUCACUUUCUGUGGCUGCUGCUGCAGAAGCCACUGCUGACUGAUGUGGAUACCUCAAUCUUUGGUUUACAAAAAGCCUAGGUGUCUUUUGGCCUCUCUCCAGGUUGAUAGCCAUGGCUCCUGAAAGAAAUAAAAGAUGAUCAUCUUUCUA